ensembl:lncRNA
CUCAAUAAACGUCACAUAUGAUGUGUUAAAAGUAUUGCGCCCUUAUACAUUAGAUUACGGUAUACAAAAUUAGCUUUAGUUUCUAUUUGGAGGUAUACGGUUGUGUACGUGAUGACGUUAUAUCAUUACGUGAUGUUCUCAGCUAAAAAAAAAAAAAAAAGAAAAGAGGUGAACUGAUGUUAUGUUCAAGUGAUGCUGCUAAAAUAAAAAGCUGCUGAAGAAAGGAUAAGCACUGAGCUACGUUUUGUUUGUUUUCCCACACGCGAGUGAAAGUGAAUAGCGCACUCGGGUGCUCAACAGGUUAUGGGCCCAGUCACGGAAACAAACGAGCGUGAGUAAAGUUAAGUUCAGUCAGACGCGACGUAUAACGCGUGCUAUAAAGCUAACGAUAAAGCUAAACUGAAGAAACAUAAGAAGAAAGGUCGGUGAUCCUACAAAAUGGCGAACAGAGCGGUAGGAGUCAUGGCACACUCUUUGUUUGAUGGAUCUGAAGAUAAAUAUGAUCUUUGGGAAACGAGAUUCUUAAGCUAUCUACACACUCUAAAGCUAAAAGAGACUAUUUUGCAUGAGCCCACCGGUGCUAAUGAAGAACAGCUAGCUGAAGACAGACGGAAGAACGCUGAUUGCUAUGCUGAACUUGUAAGACUGAUAGAUGACAAAAGCCUAUCACUGAUAAGACAUGAAUCUGCUGACGAUGGCAGGAAAGCCCUAAGAAUACUGAAAGAACAUUAUUCAGGGAAAAGCAAGCCACGGAUAAUAAAUAUGUACACAUCGUCAACUCAACUACGCAUGUCAGACAAUGAGAGUGUUACAGACUACUUGAUAAGAGCAGAGAACAUCAUCACAGCACUGAGAGAUGCAGGAGAAACCAUGAGUGAUGGAUUAACCAUAGCGAUGGUUCUUCGUGGAUUACCUGAUAUUUUCAAGCCGCUAGCCGUCCACAUAACACAGAAUGAGGACGACGUUACAUUCACAGAUUUUAAGAGAAGACUGCGGAUUUACGAAGAGGCGGAGAAAAUGAAAGGAACAGAAUCCACAGAUAAUGUGAUGAAGACACAGACGAGACAAGGAAAGGGUCCUGCCAGGUACCACACUAAAGAAAGAAAAGAUGAAGACACAAAUAUGACAUGUUACAAAUGUGGAAUAAAGGGACACAGAGCGAGAAAAUGUUACAAGAGAGUGUGGUGCAAUCAUUGUAAAAAUAGUACACACGCUGAGUUUCUGUGUAAGAAAAAGGGUGACCAAGAUGGCGUCAGAAAGGUUACAGAUGAACACAAUAAUGACCCAGACCAUGACCAUCUCUUCAAAGCUGAACACUCAGAAUAUGAAAAACCAGCAAACAAAGUAAAGAUGAAAGGGAUCAUGGUAGACGCAGGAGCUACGUCUCAUAUUGUGAGUGACAUCAGAAAGUUCAGAAGUUUUGAUAGCGCUUAUCAACCAGAGACUCAUUCAGUGGAAUUAGCAGACGGAACGAAGUGCAGCGGAAUGGCGCAACAAAGAGGAACGGCAGUGAUUUAUCUCCUAGAUGACGCUGGAAAACAGCACACUGCACAGCUACGGGACGCGCUAUACAUGCCUUCGUACCCACAUGACAUUUUCUCGGUAGCAAGAGCGACAAAUGGAGGAGCAACAAUCAUUUUCAAAAGAGGAGACAAUCACUUGAUAACCAAAAACGAAAGCAGGUUUGAUAUUCAUGAAAGUGGAAACUUGUACUAUUUACCAACACUAGAAGAGGAUGUUGACCAGUGCAAAGUGUGUCAUGAUUUACAAACCUGGCAUGAAAUUCUGGGACAUUGUAACUACGAAGAUUUAAAGAAGCUACAAGAUGUAGUAAGAGGCAUGGAGAUAAAAGGAAAUAAAGUGAAAGAGAAACAGCUAUGUGAAGUGUGUACACAAGGAAAAUUCACGCAGACCAGAAACAGGGAGCCAGACAGAAAGGCAAAGAAACCCCUAGAACUAAUUCACACGGAUCUGGCCGGCCCCAUGCCAACACAGAGCAAGGAAGGACACAGAUAUGCACAGUCAUUCACAGAUGACUAUUCAGGUACUAUGUUUGUGUAUUUCUUGAAGACUAAAGGUGACACAACACAAGCUACAGAGAAGUUUUUAGCUGACAUUGCACCUUUUGGAGAAAUCAAGUGCAUCCGUUCAGAUAACGGCACUGAAUUCAUGAGUCGAGAUUUUCAAACACUGUUAACAAGGAAUAAGAUUCGACACGAAACAUCUGCGCCUUAUUCACCACAUCAGAACGGCACAGCAGAGAGAGGAUGGAGAACACUCUAUGAAAUGAGUAGGUGCUUACUGAUAGAGAGUGAAUUACCAGAUGAGUUGUGGAACUACGCUAUGCAAACAUCAGCCUACGUGAGGAAUAGGUGCUACAGUAGACGUACAAAGAAGACAGCAUACGAGUUAUUCACAGGCAAAAAGCCAGAUCUUUCCAAGAUGCAGAAAUUUGGAUCAACAUGUUUUGCUUACAAACAAGAGAAAAGCAAAUUUGACUCAAGAUGCGAACAAGGUGUUUUCAUAGGCUACGACAAG